rnacentral:rRNA from 1 species
AAUGAACGCUGGCGGCAGGCCUAAAACAUGCAAGUCGAACGCCCUAGCAAUAGGGAGUGGCGCACGGGUGAGUAACAUGUGGGAAUAUGCCUUUUGGUACGGAACAACGUUUGGAAACGAACGCUAAUACCGUAUGGUCCCUCCGGGGUAAAGAUUUAUCGCCAAAAGAUUAGCCCGCACUAGAUUAGCUAGUUGGUAAGGUAAUGGCUUACCAAGGCGACGAUCUAUAGCUGUUCUGAGAGGAUGAUCAGCCACACUGGGACUGAGACACGGCCCAGACUCCUACGGGAGGCAGCAGUGGGGAAUAUUGGACAAUGGGCGAAAGCCUGAUCCAGCAAUGCCGCGUGAGUGAAGAAGGCCUUCGGGUUGUAAAGCUCUUUUACCCGGGAAGAUAAUGACUGUACCGGGAGAAUAAGCCCCGACUAACUCCGUGCCAGCCGCCGCGGUAACAC